rnacentral:rRNA from 1 species
AGCGAACGCUGGCGGCAGGCUUAACACAUGCAAGUCGAGCGGGCCCUUCGGGGUCAGCGGCGGACGGGUGAGUAACGCGUGGGAACGUGCCUUCUGGUUCGGAAUAACCCUGGGAAACUAGGGCUAAUACCGGAUACGCCCUUUUGGGGAAAGGUUUACUGCCGGAAGAUCGGCCCGCGUCUGAUUAGCUAGUUGGUGGGGUAACGGCCUACCAAGGUGACGAUCAGUAGCUGGUCUGAGAGGAUGAUCAGCCACACUGGGACUGAGACACGGCCCAGACUCCUACGGGAGGCAGCAGUGGGGAAUAUUGGACAAUGGGCGCAAGCCUGAUCCAGCCAUGCCGCGUGAGUGAUGAAGGUCUUAGGAUUGUAAAGCUCUUUCACCGGGGAAGAUAAUGACGGUACCCGGAGAAGAAGCCCCGGCUAACUUCGUGCCAGCCGCCGCGGUAAAAC